UACGUAGGGUGCGAGCGUUAAUCGGAAUUACUGGGCGUAAAGCGUGCGCAGGCGGUUUCACAAGCUCGAUGUGAAAGCCCCGGGCUUAACCUGGGAAUGGCAUUGAGGACUGUGGAGCUCGAGUGCGGCAGAGGGAGGUUGAAUUCCACGUGUAGCAGUGAAAUGCGUAGAGAUGUGGAGGAACACCGAUGGCGAAGGCAGCCUCCUGGGCCGACACUGACGCUCAUGCACGAAAGCGUGGGGAGCAAACAGG
rnacentral:rRNA from 1 species